UACAGAGGGGGCAAGCGUUGUUCGGAAUUACUGGGCGUAAAGGGCGCGUAGGCGGCCCACUAAGUCGAACGUGAAAUCCCCGGGCUCAACCCGGGAACUGCGUCCGAUACUGGUGGGCUUGAAUCCGGGAGAGGGAUGCGGAAUUCCAGGUGUAGCGGUGAAAUGCGUAGAUAUCUGGAGGAACACCGGUGGCGAAGGCGGGUCUCUGGGCAACAACUGACGCUGAGGCGCGAAAGCUAGGGGAGCGAACAGG
rnacentral:rRNA from 1 species